ACGAACGCUGGCGGCGUGCCUAAUACAUGCAAGUAGAACGCACAGGAUGCACCGUAGUUUACUACACCGUAUUCUGUGAGUUGCGAACGGGUGAGUAACGCGUAGGUAACCUGCCUGGUAGCGGGGGAUAACUAUUGGAAACGAUAGCUAAUACCGCAUAAGAACAUUUUACUGCAUGGUAGAUGUUUAAAAGGUGCAAAUGCAUCACUACCAGAUGGACCUGCGUUGUAUUAGCUAGUAGGUGAGGUAACGGCUCACCUAGGCGACGAUACAUAGCCGACCUGAGAGGGUGAUCGGCCACACUGGGACUGAGACACGGCCCAGACUCCUACGGGAGGCAGCAGUAGGGAAUCUUCGGCAAUGGGGGGAACCCUGACCGAGCAACGCCGCGUGAGUGAAGAAGGUUUUCGGAUCGUAAAGCUCUGUUGUUAAGGAAGAACGAGUGUGAGAAUGGAAAGUUCAUACUGUGACGGUACUUAACCAGAAAGGGACGGCUAACUACGUGCCAGCCGCUGC
rnacentral:rRNA from 1 species